GCCCCUUUCAACAUAGAUUAAGUUGAUUCUUGUGUUGAGUUCUGUUGUUUAACAAGUCCCAGAUUAGGGGAGGGCCAAAUAUUACUAUAUUUGGGAGCCUAAAAUUCAGUAGUUGUUGGUUGGUCUGCUUUGUUUGACUUUUUUUUUUUACAUAAAUUUGGUGGAUUGAUUCUUAUUUUGUUUUGCCUUUUAUAGCUUAUGGGU
rnacentral:lncRNA from 1 species